UCCGAUUUCUUUUUUCGAAGCGGCCUGCGGUGGAUCCAGGCAAGAGGUUGGGCAGAUGGGAUUCUGCAGCUCAGCAUUCCAGCUACAAGCAGCACGGAUGUCUCUACGUUACAGGGCACACGGUCUUGAACCUGAAAAUUGGCCCAAAGGUUAAAAAUGCCUCCUGGAGCUCUUUUUAAGAGACAGAUCCACUUUAAAGAAAGCUUCCAAAAGGGAGAUGAACCAGUAAUAGGAAGAUUGGCCCUCCUGCUUGGCUAAAAAUGGAGAAAACUGGUCACAGCGUUCCUGGAUGAUGGAGAAUGAACGGAAAAUAACUUGGAAGGAACAGCCCAAAGCAUAGGUGGACUCCAGGCUGUUUUUGCUGGACCCACAGAGCUUGAAAUCUGCUAUUUCCCACUGGAAGAGGCUUAAAAUGGUUACCGUGAAGACGUUUUGAGAAGAAUACAUCAGCCGCCCUGUUUAGGGUGUCCCACUCCCUUUUGAAUCGGGGAGCAAGGGAUGACCCUAUGCGUGGGCGGGCCGAGGAUUAUAGCCAACAUCUGCUGGACAAGAUCACUCGGAUUCGGGACGGGCUGGACUCUGACUGGGCAGAGUCGGUUGAGGGGGUGACGACGGGUCUGGUUAUCUGGGACGAGUUCGAUCCUGUUACUCCGGAGGAAGUGGACAAGAUCAUGGGGAAGCUGAGUACCCACCACGUGUUUGUUGGACCCGUGUCCCUCCUGGCUUGUUUAUUCGGCUCGGGAGGUUACACGUGACUGGAUCCAGGCAGUGAUUACUGCUUCCUUGGAUGAGGGGAGCUUCCCUGCCGCCUUGAAGGAGGCGGUGGUGAGACCCCUCCUCAAGAAGCCUGCCUUGGAUCCAGCUAUCUUGAACAACUUUCGUCCUGUCUCCAACCUUCGCUUUAUUGCGAAGGUUGUUGAGAGCGUGGUGGCACAUCAGCUCCCGUUGGCCCUGGAGGAAGCAGUAUACCUGGGCCCAUACCAGUCGGGUUUCAGGCCCGGGUACAGCACGGAGACGACAUUGGUUGCGCUGGUUUAUGAUCUUUGGAGGGCUCAGGAUGGGACAUUCCUCUGUCCUGGUCCUGUUAGAUCUUUUGAUGCCAUCAACCAUGGUAUCCUACUGCAACGCCUUGAGGGGUUCGGGGUGGGAGGCACUGUUUUACGGUGGUUCUCAUCCUACCUCACGGGUCAUUCACACGUGUUGGUGGGGGGGCAGAGGUCGGCCCCGAGGCCCCUUACGUGUGGGGUGCUCCAGGGGUCGGUCCUCUCCCCUUUUGUUCAUCUGUAUGAAGCCGCUGGGGGAGAUCAUCCGUGGUUUUGGGGUGGGGUACCAUCAGUAUGCUGAUGAUCCCCAACUUUUUCUAUCCACCCCGAAUCAGCCCAGUGAUGCCCUCGACGUGAUCCCGGUGCCUGGAAGCGGUGCAGCUCUGGAUGGGGGAGGAACAGGCUUAAGCUCAACCCUGCCAAGACAGAGUGGCUGUGGGUACCGGCAUCUCGGUUCCAUGGGGAUGCUCCACUGCUGGUCAUAGGGGGCGAGGUGUUGCCCCCCUGUUGACAGGGCACGCAACUUGGGUGUCCUCCUGGAUUCGCAGUUGUCUCUGGAAGAUCAGGUUAUGACUGUGACCAGGGUGGCAUUUGCCCAGAUUCGUCUAGUGCGCCAGUUGCGCCCCUACCUGAACCGAGUUGCCCUACGCAUGGUCACUCAUGUGCUGGUCACCUCCCAGAUUGACUACUGCAACACUACAUUGGGCUGCCCCUGAAGACUAUUCGGAGGCUUCAGCUGGUGCAGAAUGCGGCCGCACAGGUAGUGAUAGUGUCCCGACACUCAUGUUACACCCCUCCUGUGCGACCAGCACCUUGAAUCUCACACAGAGGGCAACCGGUAACCAAUGCAGGUCGCGCAGGAGGGGUGUAACAUGAGAGCGUCGGGACACUCCCAUUACUACACUCUGGAAUCAGCUCCCCCUGGAGCUCCGGAUGGCCUCCGACCGUCGCUCUUUCCGCCACGAACUGGCCGGCCUGGAUUGAUGGGUUUUUUUUAAAUGGAUUUUAAUUGAUUUUAGGGUUUUAAUGUAUAAUUUUUAACCCGGAGUUUUUGUUUUAUUUUUCUGUUUUAUUGUGAGCCGCCCUGGGUUCCUCGGAGAAAGGGCGGCAUAUAAGUCUAAACAAAUAAAAUAAAUAAAUGUAUAAAUAAAUAUAAUAUGUCCAAGGAAGAAAAUAAAACAAUUUUUAGAGAAAGAACAAUAUGUUAGAUUGUAAGAGUGUAUCAGCUCUUAUAUUCAGCAUCCAGAACAUUGCAGAAAACAUUACAUCUACAAAUCUACAGGAUUCCCUGUUAAAAAAUACUUUGGUACAUGUCAAAAAAAGUGCAUUGGCAAUCCAUAAAUUUCUUUUAAAUGUGUACAAAUUUGCUGCUAUUAAUAAAUACACCAGUUUGAAAAAAGUAAA